GGCCUGGUGGUGUAAUGGUAACAUGUCCUUUCUACUUGCACGGUUCGUGAUCACUUAUGGGAUGUUCCCUGUUCAAAUUAGGGUCAGGCCU